CAAGCGAGCCUGCGCUGGACAGCGGUGACGGGAACAUCAAGGAAUCAGCGCUUCAGAAGAGGGCCUCUCAGCAGGAGCCAUUUUCAAGGACUCCACCUUGAGACAGCACACCGUUGUGGAGACCACCUGGCCAGCAGACGUGGCUGGACCCCAUCAGGCCUCUCUACAAAUGGCAGAUCCUGGCGGGUGGGUGCAGAGACCUCCUCGCUGGGUGGUACCCAAGGCAAGCCUGGCAAGUUUUGGAGUGACAAGGCACUGUUACUGGAUCCCAGUGGCCAGGGCUCCUUGACAAGAGCGGGAACCAGCAUGGAGCCAGCUGUGGCAGGCGUGUCUGUGUAAGAGGCCAGGCUGAUACGGAAACACUGCCCGAGCCACAUCACAGGGGAAGAGAAAUGUGU